rnacentral:rRNA from 1 species
CCUACGGGGGGCAGCAGUGGGGAAUAUUGGACAAUGGGGGCAACCCUGAUCCAGCCAUGCCGCGUGUGUGAAGAAGGCCCUCGGGUUGUAAAACACUUUCAGUGAGGAAGAACGCCUGGUGGUUAAUACCCAUCAGGAAAGACAUCACUCACAGAAGAAGCACCGGCUAACUCCGUGCCAGCAGCCGCGGUAAUACGGAGGGUGCGAGCGUUAAUCGGAAUUACUGGGCGUAAAGCGCGCGUAGGUGGCUUGAUAAGCCGGUUGUGAAAGCCCCGGGCUCAACCUGGGAACGGCAUCCGGAACUGUCAAGCUAGAGUGCAGGAGAGGAAGGUAGAAUUCCCGGUGUAGCGGUGAAAUGCGUAGAGAUCGGGAGGAAUACCAGUGGCGAAGGCGGCCUUCUGGACUGACACUGACACUGAGGUGCGAAAGCGUGGGUAGCAAACAGGAUUAGAUACCCUUGUAGUC